GCCAGCAGCCAUAUCACCCUGCAACUCACAACUGGCAACCCACUGAAGCUAAGCAGGCGUGAGCUUGGUCAGUACCUGGAUAGGAGACCUCCUGGGAAAAACUAAGGUUGCUGCUGGAA
ensembl:rRNA 5S_rRNA 5S ribosomal RNA